CCCUUAGAUGUCCUGGGCCGCACGCGCGCUACACUGAUGCAUUCAACGAGUUUUACCUUGGCCGAGAGGCCUGGGCAAUCUUUUAAACCUGCAUCGUGAUAGGGAUAGAUUAUUGCAAUUAUUAAUCUUGAACGAGGAAUUCCUAGUAAACGCAGAUCAUCAAUCUGCAUUGAUUACGUCCCUGCCCUUUGUACACACCGCCCGUCGCUACUACCGAUUGAAUGGUUUAGUGAGGACUCCUGAUUGGCGCCGCCGCCCCGGCAACGGAGCAGCGGACUGCCGAAAAGUUGUUCAAACUUGAUCAUUUAGAGGAAGUAAAAGUCGUAACA
rnacentral:rRNA from 1 species